GACGUAGGGCGCGAGCGUUGUCCGGAUUUAUUGGGCGUAAAGAGCUCGUAGGCGGCUUGUCGCGUCGAAUGUGAAAACUUGGGGCUCAACUCCAAGCUUGCAUUCGAUACGGGCAGGCUAGAGUUCGGUAGGGGAGACUGGAAUUCCUGGUGUAGCGGUGAAAUGCGCAGAUAUCAGGAGGAACACCGGUGGCGAAGGCGGGUCUCUGGGCCGAGACUGACGCUGAGGCGCGAAAGCGUGGGGAGCAAACAGG
rnacentral:rRNA from 1 species